UGAGGAAUAUUGGGCAAUGGGGGCAACCCUGACCCAGCCAUGCCGCGUGAGUGAAGAAGGUCUUCGGAUUGUAAAGCUCUUUCGGACGUGACGAUGAUGACGGUAGCGUCUAAAGAAGCACCGGCAAACUUCGUGCCAGCAGCCGCGGUAAUACGAAGGGUGCGAGCGUUGUUCGGAAUUACUGGGCGUAAAGGGAGUGUAGGCGGAUAUGUAAGAUAGCGGUGAAAUGCCGGGGCUCAACCCCGGAACUGCCAUUAUGACUAUGUAUCUAGAGUAAUGGAGAGGAUAGCGGAAUACCCAGUGUAGAGGUGAAAUUCGUAGAUAUUGGGUAGAACACCGGUGGCGAAGGCGGCUAUCUGGCCAUUUACUGACGCUGAGGCUCGAAAGCAUGGGGAUCAAACAGG
rnacentral:rRNA from 1 species